AGAGUUUGAUCCUGGCUCAGGACGAACGCUUGCGGCGUGCCUAAGAAAUGCAAGUCGAACGGACAGUGGCUUCGGUUACUGUUAGUGGCGAACGGUCGCGUAACACGUAAGAAACCUGCCUUGAAGCGGGGGACAACAGUCCGAAAGGACUGCUAAUACCGCAUGUGGCCAACUGGGGGCAUCCCCGGUUGUCUAAAGAUUUAUCACUUCAAGAUGGUCUUGCGGCCUAUCAGCUAGUUGGUGAGGUAACGGCUUACCAAGGCGACGACGGGUAGCUGGUCUGAGAGGACGAUCAGCCGGAUUGGGACUGAGAUACGGCCCAGACUCCUACGGGGGGCAGCAAUUAGGAAUCUUGCACAAUGGGGGAAACCCUGAUGCAGCGACGCCGCGUGAAGGAUGAAGGUUCUCGGAUCGUAAACUUCUUUUAAGUGGGAAGAAAUUGACGGUACCACUGAAUAGUCUGAUUGCCG
rnacentral:rRNA from 1 species